UGAGGAAUAUUGGUCAAUGGGCGAGAGCCUGAACCAGCCAAGUCGCGUGAAGGAAGAAGGAUCUAUGGUUCGUAAACUUCUUUUGCAGGGGAAUAAAGUGCGGGACGUGUCCUGUUUUGUAUGUACCCUGAGAAUAAGGAUCGGCUAA
rnacentral:rRNA from 1 species